GAUGAACGCUGGCGGCGUGCCUAAUACAUGCAAGUCGAGCGAACGGACGAGAAGCUUGCUUCUCUGAUGUUAGCGGCGGACGGGUGAGUAACGCGUGGAUAACCUACCUAUAAGACUGGGAUAACUUCGGGAAACAGGAGCUAAUACCGGAUAAUAUUUUGAACCGCAUGGAUCAAAAGUGAAAGACGGUCUUGCUGUCACUUAUAGAUGGAUCCGCGCUGCAUUAGCUAGUGGGUAAGGUAACGGCUUACCAAGGCAACGAUGCAUAGCCGACCUGAGAGGAUGAUCGGCCACACUGGAACUGAGACACGGUCCAGACUCCUACGGGAGGCAGCAGUGGGGAAUCUUCCACAAUGGGCGAAAGCCUGACGCAGCAACGCCGCGUGAGUGAUGAAGGUCUUCGGAUUGUAAAGCUCUUUUAUUAGGGAAGAACAUAUGUGUAUUUAACUGUGCACAUCUUGACGGUACCUAAUCAGAAAGCCACGGCUAACUUCGUG
rnacentral:rRNA from 1 species